CAGAGGUGUGAACUGCCAGGUUACUACCCUGCUCCAGACUCAAGUAUUCUAAUAAAACACAAAGGUUCCACUUUCUCAUUUGUGCAAUGGAAAAAUUUCUGCCUCUCUUUUUUACUGUAUCCAUUACCUGGUUCCCAAGGCUUCACAGUUUGUGAAAUUAAUAGUAAUCAGUUAACUAAACAACACAUCGCUAAACUCAUAACAAAAUUAAAAAGCAAGCUUAUUUGGGUAAAACCUGGUAAGAAUCAAUGACCUUGUUUCUUUGCAUCAAAGGAAAUUUUCACCUCACUUAAAAUGCUUCUAUUGUGUGUGUGCGUGUAUGUGAAUUAAAUUUUUUAAAUUAAUAUUUGGAACAAGUACACUUUUUAAACUUUUGGAUUAAUAUUUUCUUAUUUCUCCACCCUAAAAAUACUAUCUAGAGUUUUUCUGUUGAUUAGCAAACAUUUCACACUUUAGAGAACACAAAUUUCACUUUCAAUCCUAAGAUUCUGGAGAAAAAGUAUUUUCACUAACACACACACACACUUCAAGAUAUUAUCUGGAAAUCAAAUCUCCACACAUUAUACUUUCUCUUGAAAGCCAUUCUAGAGUAACCAAGGCAACAGAAUACAGACAUCUUCUGUUCUACCUUGUCCUUUACUGGACUGCUCACAACUCUCCAAGAGUCCCUGUCACCAUUACUGGACUUGAGAUUCUAUACUAAUUGAUUCUCUCCUACUUAACAUUGAUUUAACCCUCCCAAACUGACAGGCUUUACAAUUAGUCAAAAUGAAGAUUUAGGGGACAGUAUCAUUGACAACCACCAUUUGUACUCGUAAAAACUGACAGUAUCUAACAGUUGGGAAGGGAAAAGAGUGUGGGUCAGCGUGUGACCAGCACCCAAGAGCGAGCCACGGUAACUUGAACGAAGGCUUUUAGGUGGCAGAGGACCUGAAAAUUAACAUCUGCUUUGCAUUACACACACACACACACACACACACACGCACACCACCCCCCCAAAAAUAUUCAGCUUUGAUAGCUCACGGUCUGAUUCUGAGUGAAACUGCAAACUCCAGUAGACAGCAUAUGGAAAACAUUUUCUCAGCAAAGAAAAUUCCGUCCACUAAUUUGAAUUAUUCUGCAAAUUAGGACAAGAUCCUCAUUAAGCAGCCAGUUGGGCAGUCCAGUUGAGGGUGAGAAGGAAGAGGCAGGGGAUUCCUUGAGAGCCUAGCAGAGAAGGAGGCCACAUGCCAUCACGGAAGCAGGCAAAAAUAAGCAGAUGGCACAGGCUCCUAAUCACCCCUGCCCCAUUCCAAGGCUCUGGCUGAACGCUGUCCAACAGAAAUAUAAUGCCAGUCACAUAUCUAAUUUUAAAUUUUCAAGUAGCCAUGUUAAAAGGAGAAGAGAGAGCAAAAUGAAACCAGUGACAUUAAGAAUGUAUUUAAGCUAACCCAAUAUGUUCGAAACAUUAACAUCUCAACCUGUAUAAUUUAAGCAGGGAAAAAAUGACGAAUGGGGGUGUUUUACUGUUUUCUCCUAAGUGAUUUAAAAUCAGGUGUGUUUCUUUCACCGAAGAGGGCAUCUCUAGUAGGUCAAGCCACAUUGCAAGCGCUCCGGCACUCAGCGGCCACCUUCCGGGGCCAGCUCACACGAACUUCAGGCUGACGGUUGGUCUUUAAAAUACCUAACUACGUGUCGGAGGACGGGGGAGAAAGACCCAAGUCCAGAAAAUUUCACCCAAUCAGGGUGCAGGCGCGACCUCUCGGGACCAGCCAGAGCUUUCCAGCUGGACCACACCCCUGCAGUGACCGUCGCCGACAGGAAAUUCACGCUAAUGGGAACUGACAGGUCUUCAUUCUUUAAGGGUGGGGACAAGAAACCUCCAGUCCGGGCCGUCUCGGUGUCCACAAUAAAGACAGGAAACCAUUCGUGAGCGUCCUAGACGUGAGCCCCGCGCCAAAAAAUAAUAAUAAUAACGGGGUGGGGAGGGAAAGUGACCUGAAAUUAAUGAGCCAAGGGCCCCGCGAGCAUCCUUCCCGCUCCCAAACCCAAGCCUCUGGAACUCAAACCACCUGGAAAUGGUCCUUCUGGAAUAGUGGAUGGGAUCCAGGGAGCUCCAUUCAUCUGUUCAACAAAUGAGACAGGAUCCUGAUUGGAUAACUGCAAUAACAUGGAUUCCAUGGAAAGCCUUUUUCAUGCAUCAGCUUAGCUUUCUCCCAGUUGAGCCAAUGAUAUAAGAUGCUGGGGUCUGAGAAACCGUCUUAAAGGAGAGACUGGUGACAAACACUUGCUGUAUGGUUUGUUAUUGUUGUUUAGUCGCUAAGUCGUAUCUGACUCUUCGAAACCCCAUGGACUGUAGCCCACCCAGCUCCUCUGUCUGUGGGGUUUCCCAAGCAAGAAUACUGGAGUGGGUUGCCAUGCCCUCCUCCAGGGAAUCUUCCCGACCCAGGGAUCAAACCCACGUCUUCUGCAUUGGCAGGCAGAUUCUUUACCACUGAGCCAGCAGAGAAGCCCUUGCUAUGUGGUAGUUAAGAAUAAUGUGUCUUGGGAAAAACCUAGGAAAUGAUCAUUUAUUUUCCCCCUGGCUAUUAAUGGUGGUUGUUUCAUUUGGCUUCACCUGAUGAUGGUUUGGACUUCCUUCCCAGGUGGCACUAGUGGUAAAGAACCCACGUGACAAUGCAAGAGCUGCGGGUUCAGUCUCUGGGUCAGGAAGACCCCCUGGAGGAGGGCAUGGAAACCCACUGCAGUAUUCUUGCCCAGAGAAUCCCACAGACUGAGGAGCCUGGUGGGCUGCAGUCCAUAGGGUUGUACAGGCUCAGACAUGACUGAAGCGAUUUAGCGCACAUGCACCCUGAUGAUGGUUUGGUCAAGUUGAGGAAAGUUUCCUUGUCAGCUGCAACCCACCUUAUACCAGAUCUGUUGCUCUGCAGGACAGACUCAAGAAUUCCUUAGGGCUUUCUUGGUGGUCCAGUGGUUAAUAACCUGCCCAGCAAUGCAGGGUUCGAUCCCUGAUCUGGGAAGAUCUCACAUGCCACGGGGCAACUAAUCCCGUGCAUCACACCUGCUGGGCCCGAGCACGCUAGAGCCCAUGCUCUGCAAGAAGAGAAGCCCUCAUGCCACAAGGAAGAGUGGCCCCCGAUCACCACCGCAACUAGAGAAAGCCCUCACACUGCAACAGAGUUCCCACGCAGCCCAAAAUAAUUAUUUUUUAAAAAGCACCCUGUUUCUUGCAGCACUAUGCACGAUAGCCAAGACAUAGAAACAACCUAAGUGGACAUCGACAGAUGAAUAGAUAAAGAAGAUGUGGUGUACACACAAUGGAAUAUGACUCAGCCAUUAAAAAAGAAUGAAAUCAUGCCAUUUGCAGCAACAUGGGUAGAUCUAAAGAUUGUCAUACUAAGUGAAGUAAGUCACAAAAAGAAAGACAAAUAUCAUAUGAUUUCACUUAAAGGUGGAAUCUGAAAUAUGACACAGGUGUUCAUACUUAAAUAUGACCCUGGUGGUCCAGCGGUUAAGACUCCAUGCUCUCAAUGCAGGAGCACUGGUUGGAUCCCUGGUUGAGGAAGAUUCCACAUGCCAUGUGCUGUGGCCAAUAAAAAUUUUACAUUAAGAAUUUUUUAAAUAAAUAAAAAACAAAAUGUGACACAAAUGAAUUUUUCAAUGAAACAGAAACAGAUUCAUAGACAUAGAAUAGACUUGUGGUUGCCACUGGGGAUGGGGCUGGAGGUGGGAUGGAUUGAGAGUUUGGGAUUAGCAGAUGCAAACUAUUAUACAUAGAAUGGGUAAACAACAGGGUCCUACUGCAUAGCACAGGGAAAUACAUUCAAUAUUCUGUGACAAUCCAUAAUGGAAAAUAAUAUGAA